CUGCAUAGCCCUCUUUGGGCGUUUCCUCCCACUUGGGCCGCUUGCAGCAAUGCUGGCGGCCCCUUUUAUGGGACCC
rnacentral:sRNA from 1 species